ensembl:lncRNA
CCAGCAUGAAAAUUACAUUCUAUGCCUAGAAAAUGUGGAUCUGACGGCAGUGAAGAGUAUAACAUGGUUGCUUGUCUUCUCUAUUCCCCUUCUCCUCAUUGCUCGCUAUGCAUGCAUCUGUUGGACUCAUUCACCCUUACCUUUAAACUCCUAGACUGCAAGCCAGGGCUCAAGGCAGAAGCCUUCAGGUUGUCCUGCAGCUGAGUGCUCAUAGCUGUGUUUGCUCUUAGGAUAAACACUGCUUUUUAGCUACUAUUCCCAACAGAAGGAUUUGUGUUGAGUGGGCAGUUAUCCUUUUCCACAGCAGUAGAAAACCCACAGCAGUAGAAAAGCCACAGUAGUAGAAAACCCACAGGCCCACUGAGUGUAACCUGAGGCAGAAACAGGUGAAAGCUUUAUGAUUUGCCUGUUCUAUCGAUAGUUACACUUCAAACUCAGUUCCAAGUCUGCCAGCAUUUUGCUUAUGGAGGAAACCUUGAACCCAUAGCCAAAAAUACCACUGGACUGUAAGAAUCAGUAGCAAGAUACAUAGAUACUCAUUUCUCAAGGGAUUAGGAUGGAGAACAGGAUGAGUGGAGGCAAGAGGACUGUAAGGCCUCUGCCUUUCUGUGUCCUAAUAAACUCUGCCCAGUGGGAGGGCAUUUGGCACAUGGUGUGACGAGGAGAGGCCACUCACUGUAGCCACUGCUGGAACAACAUCAGGAGCCCUCAGCCUUUGAGAUGGAUCUUUAGUAAAUAGUCUCCCUACCCCAUUUCAGGCAUCUGACUGAGUUGAUAGCUUUGCCAGCUCUCCAAAGAUUAAGCAGUGCCGCAGGAAUGCCAGGCUAUCAGCAAGCCCAGAUAAACUUCAAUAAUGGAUAACUACUGCAAGACAUUGUGUCAAACUUGGGUUAAGCAUGACAAGAAUUUCCCCAGUGUAAGAAGAUGACGUUUGCUGAAACGGACAGCGCGCUUUUGGAUGUGUUAACACUAUUACAGAAGACUGUGUGCUGGAUGAGACACUGCAUGGCAUCCCAGAACUGACAUGGAGCCAGUGUGACGGAGACAAGCUGCACAGAUGCUGGACCAUGUGCUGAGGCCAACUCAAUGGAAACAUGGCUAAAAACUACAAGAGAUACAGAGAUUACAGUAAUGCUAUUUGGCAGAGAAAAUUCUCAACUACAAAACACUUUUUUCAGCAUAGUCACCACCAUGAGCUGUGCAUUCUUGUCAGCAAUGAACAAGAGCCUGCAUGCCAUAAAAUCUACAUGGUCAUCCAGAAAUUGACUUGUCUUUCACACUGCUGUCACCACUGCUGAAACGCAUCUACCACCGCCUCACUGUGCUCACAUCCACUGGUUGGUAUCCAUAAAUGUUCAGCAAGCAUUGAUGUAUGUCAGCGGGUGCCAUCUCUUCUGCAUGGAGGAAUUCAGUGACAUGUUUUUGCUUCAUAAGCACUUCCGUGUCAGAUGCCACCGUGUCAGAGUGCCCCUCUGCUGCCAUCAGUCACACGGCAACAAAAUGUAAUGGGAUAUUGGUGGAAAGGUUCAGCCUCCACUGCCAUACUACCAGCAUAUGCUUCUGAUAUCAUGGGCUAACAAAAAAAAAAAAAAAUAGGAGGCACUACUUUCAGAGCAGCCCUCAGAUGAGUGUGUGUGUAUUCGUUGACAGAGAAAAACCUGUUCUGAUUGCCCGUGACAUCCUUGGAAUUACCUUGGUUAUUGUAGUGUAUUUACUUAGCACGGUGACAGUGCUUUGUCAGGUGGCUCUCCCUCUUUCAACACGGCCAUUUUUGCCAGUGUCUCUGGCUGUUUCUUUUGGUUCUUCUCAUAAGAAAUUGUCUUCUUUCUGUCCUGCACAGGUGCCAUGUUACCCUAACCAUGAGUAAGAAUGUCUUGUUUCCUACUGUUUUCUAUCUGUAGAGCCCCUUUCAGCGCCUCCUAGCUCAAGUUGGAGUGAAUGAUGGGAGACCCAAGUGCUGUACGGCAUUAGGCUUGGUGAUCUCCCAUGGAGAAAGGUUAAGACUUCUCUCCUGCAAGCAGAAACAUGUCUACUGUGGUUCUCUAGAAAGAAAGCAUCCUAUGCCAGCGACUGGUGUUGGUACACUGCCCUGUGAACGUUCUCAAAAAGCCAAGAGCUUAUCAGUGACAGUGGGGCAGGACCCCGGUUCAGGUUACUGCCACCCUCCAGGAGCAGGCCGGGCAGAUUCACCUCCAGUAUCGAUGUACCUUACUUGCAGUUUCCUUGGAAAAUCUACUUCUGACCAAAAGACCCAGAAACUAUUUUGAACAAAACAGCAUUUCCCUUUUACUUUUGCCUCAUAAGUAUGAAACAAUUGCAUUUGUAGACUGUUUCGACACGAGAAGCAAAAUUUCUGCUGAAAAUGGCUCUGUGAUUUCACACCUGUGAUUCAGAGCAAAACCUGGGAAGGACACAGAAGAAACCACACCCCAGGUGUGUGUAUCCGCAUUCCCACUGCAGAUGUGGCUAACGUGAUGGCUUCAUAAACAUAGAAUCAUAGAAUUGUAGGAUCAUUAAUGUUGGAAAGACCUCUAAGAUCACCUAAUCCAACCAUCAGCCUACCACCAGCAUGCCCGCUGACCACAUCUCCAUGGUUCUUGAACAUCUCCAGGGAUGGAGACUCCACCACCUCUCUGGCUGGUAUUCAAUGCUCUCUGCAAGCACUUGACAGUCCUUUGCACUGCUGCCUGUAUCUGCACACUGGAGGCCAACCUGCUGCUUGAAAGAAAAUCACUCUCAGAAUCACAGUGCCAGGGGAGCCUUCUCCUUAGGAACACCCUAUUCAGGAUCCUUCUGCUCCCAGUCUGUGAUAUCCAAUGCACAGGAAUACACACAGAGGAUCUGCCUCUCUUGGGCUCACUGCUCUCCAAUGCAAGCCUGCAGUUGCAGUCUGCAGUUUGGGCUCUGUUGGUAGCACUGCACUGGCUGCUGACCCUUCCAGGAAGUGCUUUCCUCCUGUACCUCCUCCCACCACCUUGCUUGCGAUCCCAAGUGCUGACCUACAGGAUACCGUGAUGAUCCAGCAUCACCUCCACUGGGCCCCCAGCUGCCGGCUAAUGGAGAGGCCCUGCUGCGCCACGUGUUCCUGUAAGCCUUGGGUCAUCCCAUUUCACGGCUUCUCAGAAGGCAUCUGUCAGUGCGUCCGUUUCAUGAAGUACACAGAACGGAGAUUAAGUUGCAUUUCAACCACCCUUUCCUUUCUUACCAAGCACUUUGCGUAGGAGUGGCAGCCCCUUUGUUAACUGAUGGGAAGGACACGUUAAAUAUGCAGAAGCUGCGUCACCUCCCUUGACAGACAACUUUGGAGAUGUUUCCUGUAUGUGGGGCUGCCUAAGAGUCUGCAGACAGUUGGAGCCAGCCCGGAGCUCCCAGAAAUCACGAGGGAAGCCAGGCUGUGCAGCCACCUCCCAGGGAUAUCACAAGUCCCUGCUGGGUGCAUGCAUGGUGCCACGAGGACCUCUGUUUGUGCAGGACCAUUGCUCUGAGAGUGCUUCCCCUGCUGCUAUUGCAGCUCUCUGCAAGACCUCAUAUUUCUCAACCGAUUUCCUUCCAGCCCCACAUUUGCGAGUGCUGAGGGCUGUGGCAAUUGAGUGAUCAAGCACUCUCCCUGCCAGCGUUUUCUACCCGGGCCUCGUGCUGACCCUCAGGGUUAUCAGAAAAGCCUUUCGUCAGACGUCAGCCGGAGCAGAAAUUGGCAUGGAGACAGCGCUGCAAUUCUGUAAGGCGUUGCACUUGUACUGGCAAAGGUGGAGAAUGCAGCCCUGGCAUUUAUGGUGCAUCAGCCCACGCAUGGUCACAGUGCCUGACGACGCAAAGAAGAAUUGCGGCUGUAAAAUUGCCCAUAGCAGCUGAGCAUCCACUUUGCCUUGCCUCAUCCUCAGGAUGCGGGGCGCUCUCUCAAGGAGCAGUUUCUCGCUGGUUUAACAGCCUGCAGGACCGCCCAGCUGCACGUUGCAGAGGAUGCUUGGCUGUGAGAUCCCAGCCCCAUGCCCAAGGGGUGCGUGCACACAAAAAUGGGGCCACCUAAGCCAGAUACGGGCUAGAUGGGAGGGUGGGGGACAGCCCUCCAGAAGAAAGGAAGCCGUAAGUAGAGCUGCCUCCUUGCUUGGUGCCGCCUCCAAGAGCCCCCAGGGCAGUGGCACAGCCUGGCUGCAGCCCCCAGCAGACCCUUGGGGCACAGCCACAGAGGCUGCUGGAAAAUGAAACUUCAGCCCUGCUGGCAGCCACCCAAUUUCAACAAUUUUUUGUUUCGUUCUUGAAAGAAGGCAAAGGGGGAAGCUUUGUUUUCUCCCGGGCUUCUCAGAAAUGCUUAUUUGGGAACGGGGCAUUUUCAAAUGUCAUAUUUGGAUGGAAAAUGCCUUAUCUAGUAAGAAUAGUUAAUCUUCCUCCAGUCUGAGAUGCCUGAAAACAUCCCACUUGGCUCUCCUCCAUGCAGCGGACGGCUGACUCCCAGCCCUGCUGCCACGUGCUCAGUGCAUGGAGGGACAUGGGGAGUACGGGCUGGUUCCUCUAUGCCCAGAAGCACUUGGGAAGGGGCUUUUUCCUGUGCCGUGCUUUGAAAGCGGUGACCAAACCCUGUCAGCGUGUUCCUGAGACUGGGCUGCUGCCCCUCGUAUAACCACAAGCCAGAUUCGCACUGAUGUUACCAGGAGCAACUCUGUUGACUUCCGCAAGGUUCUACUCAAUGACACCGCAUAAACGACAGGACACUGAAAAUAGCCCAAGAAAUCAGAUUUUCAACAUAAUCAACUGGUGCUUUCUGAAAAGGAAAAAAAAAAAAAGAAAAGAAAAAAUGCAGCUAUCCUGCAAGCAGCACCCCAGCAAUCCUAUGAUGGUAAUUAAAAUCCUGGAUUCUCUUCAGUGUAACCCUCUGAUGCAGCGUUACCGUCUCCAGGCCGUCCCAAGGCACAGGUGAUUGCUUCUCCUUAGAGCACCAAAUCCCCGGUCACUUCUUCCCAUUUGGGAAGAAAAAAAAUCACGAGUCUUUUAAAAAGAAAUAAAAAAUGUUACUUUCCCACCUGGGGCUGUCCUUCUUGGGUGUUCUUUCUAAAAAGACUGGUUCUAUUUGCCAGACUAAAACACUUAAUCAAUUUGAAAUGAAAACAGCAACUAUAAUUAAAGGGAGGAAAAUCCCACCACAGCAGAGGAACCAUUAUUAAGGUAAUUUUUUCUUUAUAAC